rnacentral:sRNA from 1 species
AGAGCAUCGGCCGGCGACCGUUCCGGCGGCCAUUGCGAAAACUUCCCCACGGCUACUGCGUCCACGUGGCGGUGGCGUGGGGACUCCCUGAAAGCAGAGCGGCAGGGCGCCCGGAAGUCGUGAGUCGAGUCUUCCCGGGCUAAUCCAUGCCGGGUUGGAGGCUGCUGACGCAGGUCGGCGCCCAGGUGCUGGGUCGACUCGGGGACGGCCUGGGUGCUGCCCUGGGCCAGGGGAACAGAACACACAUCUGGCUUUUUGUUAGAGGUCUUCAUGGAAAGAGUGGUACAUGGUGGGAUGAGCAUCUUUCUGAAGAAAAUGUCCCAUUCAUUAAGCAGUUGGUCUCUGAUGAAGAUAAAGCCCAAUUAGCAAGUAAACUAUGUCCUCUGAAAGAUGAACCAUGGCCUAUACAUCCUUGGGAACCAGGUUCCUUUAGAGUUGGUCUUAUUGCCUUGAAGCUGGGCAUGAUGCCUUUAUGGACCAAGGAUGGUCAAAAGCAUGUGGUCACAUUACUUCAGGUACAAGACUGUCAUGUCUUAAAAUAUACGUCAAAGGAAAACUGUAAUGGAAAAAUGGCAACCCUGUCUGUAGGAGGAAAAACUGUAUCACGUUUUCGUGUAAGGAUGUAUUUUCAUAGCUAGAAUACUGCAUUUUUCAUCAGUUUCAAAUCUGGAUGAGUUUAUGUUUUGAGAUUGUUCCACAGCCACAAACUUGCAUUUGUUUGUGAGGUAAAUUGUGUAUUUGGGGGAGGCAGUCUGGCACAGCCAUUUUGCCCAGGAGUCUUGGAGACUCUUGAGUUUGUUCUAAUACCUCUCC